AGAUUGAACGCUGGCGGCAGGCCUAACACAUGCAAGUCGAGCGGCAGCACGGGUACUUGUACCUGGUGGCGAGCGGCGGACGGGUGAGUAAUGCCUAGGAAUCUGCCUGGUAGUGGGGGAUAACGCUCGGAAACGGACGCUAAUACCGCAUACGUCCUACGGGAGAAAGCGAGGGGACCUUCGGGCCUUGCGCUAUCAGAUGAGCCUAGGUCGGAUUAGCUAGUUGGUGAGGUAAUGGCUCACCAAGGCGACGAUCCGUAACUGGUCUGAGAGGAUGAUCAGUCACACUGG
rnacentral:rRNA from 1 species